rnacentral:rRNA from 1 species
UACGGAGGAUCCAAGCGUUAUCCGGAUUCACUGGGUUUAAAGGGUGCGUAGGUGGGCAGGUAAGUCCGUGGUGAAACCUCUGAGCUUAACUCAGAAACUGCCGUGGAUACUAUUUGUCUUGAAUGUUGUGGAGGUGAGCGGAAUAUGUCAUGUAGCGGUGAAAUGCUUAGAUAUGACAUAGAACACCAAUUGCGAAGGCAACUCACUACACAAUUAUUGACGCUGAGGCACGAAAGCGUGGGGAUCAAACAGG